CUCACCCAAGCCAGUAUCUGUGCCAGCACUAGAGUCCUGACAGUGCCCCCACCUCAGACAGCUAGGCUCACAGGCCACACGGUGUCCCUCUCUGCAAAAACCCUGAAGGAGGAAGCAGCUCACAAAGAAUUCAGAGUUUUGACAUGAAGUCCUUAGAAAAAUGCCCUUUUAUCCAGAUCUUAAGGAACUAGAUAUAGAGAAAUUUGCUUAACACGCUAGGUUACGAAAAGGUAUCUCAGUAGAAGUCUGUUAACUAGACUUUUCUUGUUUCCUAACAAAAAUAUGAGGUUUUUAAAAAAUUAGAGCUUUACUUAAAUUCCUUAAGCACAUCUAUAUUCUGUGAAAUAACGGAGUGUGGGGAUUUGAAACAAAUGUUGGAAGAGAUUUCAUGAAAACAAGUCUACCCUUCGGCCUCAGGAAUGACUAGAUGGGGGCCACCUCAGUGACCCACAAAGAACAAAGACGGGGAGACUGGGGUAGGGUGAUAUAUUCAAGGAAGCUUAAUGCUUGCUGUUUUAUGGUUCUAGCGAGAACCUCUUGACAUCCUUUGAACCCAAGUGUCCGAUUUCAACAGCAACCAUCAGCAUUUGUCACCCACAAUUCAGUGUGGGCUGGAGCCUCCUAAUCCAUCUACUUGGACCUUGCCACUACCUCUGCUUAGGGCCACUAAUUGCCUAAAACAUUAUCUGUUGCUGCACUCACAUAGUGCCCCAAGACCCCAAAGGUGUAUUCUCCUCCCUUUCUCAGCACAAAGCUGCUGUGAGGAGAUACCACCCUAUGCCUCCAUGACAGUGCUGUGUGAACUGGCCCUUCCCUCCCUCUGCCUCGUUUUCUUCUUGGAUCCCAGACACAAAUAAGAAUAAA
rnacentral:lncRNA from 1 species